UCUUCAGUUCGAUCCCUCCUCACUCGCGAUGUCUCAGUGGAAGAGAGUCAGAAAACACGGAGAUGAUGAAAACGUUAAAAGGCUACAAGAAGGUGGCUGAGUGUGUCGUGUGCUGACCUCAGAUGAAGAUGGAGCAUCUAAUGGCUCAGGAGACCCCAGAAUACCUGCUUCCUAAUGGCCAGCUGUGUUGAGACGGGAAGGGAUGGAUGAACAGGAAGAGAGCGAUGGUUGGAUGAACACUGGUUGACGGCCCAUCGAGAUCAAGCACAGGUAUAACCUUUAUCUGCUCUUCAGAGUUGACCCAAGCUGAUACCAUGAUGGCAGAAGCGCUCCUCUGCUGUCAUGUCUGUAAUCUUGGAAGAGCAUCUGCAGGGUUGGCACUGAUUUUUGUUGUGAUGGUCUACAAAAAUCUGACAAAGAAGCCUGCUACACUUCUCUUAAUGUACUAUUAAUCUCGUAGUGUGUGUUUAACACUGCUUUCUUUUUGUUGUAGGAAAGAUGUGUGUGAAGAUUUAAAGGAAUUAAGAUCUGGUCAUUUUUUCAACUUUAAAUGAUCAGUGCUUUUUAACACGUUAACUGUAUUUGUAUGUUCAGCAUAUUAAAUGUUAAACUGAAGCGACGUUCUUGAUGUAAAAAAGAUGAAUUUGGAAUAAAGGCUGAAGUGACUGUUA